UACGGAGGGUGCAAGCGUUACUCGGAAUCACUGGGCGUAAAGCGCGCGCAGGCGGCCUUUUAAGUUGGAUGUGAAAGCCUACGGCUCAACCGUAGAACUGCAUCCAAAACUACUAGGCUAGGGUCUGGGAGGGGAAGAUGGAAUUAGUUGUGUAGGGGUAAAAUCCGUAGAGAUAACUAGGAAUACCAAAAGCGAAGGCAAUCUUCUGGAACAGUACUGACGCUGAGGCGCGAAAGCGUGGGGAGCAAACAGGAUUAGAUACCCUGGUAGUCCACGCCCUAAACGAUGAAUGUUAGUCGUCGGGUAGCUAGUCUAUUCGGUGAUGCAGUUAACACAUUAAACAUUCCGCCUGGGGAGUACGGUCGCAAGAUUAAAACUCAAAGGAAUAGACGGGGACCCGCACAAGUGGUGGAGCAUGUGGUUUAAUUCGAAGAUACGCGAAGAACCUUACCUAGCCUUGACAUAUUUUAGAACACUUUAGAGAUAGAGUGGUGCCUUCGGGAGCUAAUAUACAGGUGCUGCACGGCUGUCGUCAGCUCGUGUCGUGAGAUGUUGGGUUAAGUCCCGCAACGAGCGCAACCCUCGUCACUAGUUACUAACGGUUCGGCCGAGGACUCUAGUGAGACUGCCUUCGCAAGGAGGAGGAAGGUGAGGACGACGUCAAGUCAUCAUGGCCCUUACGGCUAGGGCAACACACGUGCUACAAUGGCCAGGACAAUGAGAAGCAAUACCGCGAGGUGGAGCAAAUCUAUAAACCUGGUCUCAGUUCGGAUUGUUCUCUGCAACUCGAGAGCAUGAAGCUGGAAUCACUAGUAAUCGUAGAUCAGCUAUGCUACGGUGAAUACGUUCCCGGGUCU
rnacentral:rRNA from 1 species